rnacentral:rRNA from 1 species
CAAAAACAUCGCCUCUUGAAAAAAUAUAAGAGGUCCAGCCUGCCCAGUGACCUAGUUCAACGGCCGCGGUAUCCUAACCGUGCGAAGGUAGCGUAAUCACUUGUUCUUUAAAUAAGGACUAGUAUGAAUGGCACCACGAGGGUUACACUGUCUCCUUUUUCUAAUCAGUGAAACUAAUCUCCCCGUGAAGAAGCUGGGAUUUUUUUAUAAGACGAGAAGACCCUAUGGAGCUUUAAACUAAUUAAUAUUUGCUGUCCACAUUUUACAUUUCAGAAACCUACAUAAAACAUAGCACUCUAAUUAAUAGUUUUCGAUUGGGGUGAUCACGGAGUAAAAAACAACCUCCAUGCCGAAAGGGGCUUAUUCCCCCUGAGCAAAAAGCUACGACUUUAAGCACUAAAAAAUUAACGUUUAUUGACCCAAUAUAUUGAUCAACGAACCAAGUUACCCUAGGGAUAACAGCGCAAUCCACUUCAAGAGCUCCUAUCGACAAGUGGGUUUACGACCUCGAUGUUGGAUCAGGGUGUCCCAGUGGUGCAGCCGCUACUAACGGUUCGUUUGUUCAACGAUUAAAACC